rnacentral:rRNA from 1 species
UACGAAGGGGGCUAGCGUUGUUCGGAAUUACUGGGCGUAAAGCGCACGUAGGCGGAUUGUUAAGUCAGAGGUGAAAUCCCGGAGCUCAACUUCGGAACUGCCUUUGAUACUGGCAAUCUAGAGUCCGGAAGAGGUUAGUGGAAUUCCCAGUGUAGAGGUGAAAUACGUAGAUAUUGGGAAGAACACCAGUGGCGAAGGCGGCUAACUGGUCCGGUACUGACGCUGAGGUGCGAAAGCGUGGGGAGCAAACAGG